rnacentral:rRNA from 1 species
UACGUAGGUGGCAAGCGUUGUCCGGAAUUAUUGGGCGUAAAGCGCGCGCAGGUGGUUUCUUAAGUCUGAUGUGAAAGCCCACGGCUCAACCGUGGAGGGUCAUUGGAAACUGGGGAACUUGAGUGCAGGAGAGAAGAGUGGAAUUCCACGUGUAGCGGUGAAAUGCGUAGAGAUGUGGAGGAACACCAGUGGCGAAGGCGGCCACCUGGACGGUAACUGACGCUGAGACGCGAAAGCGUGGGGAGCAAACAGG